rnacentral:lncRNA from 1 species
UUUUGCAGUGAUUACUACCAAACACCAGGAACUACAUUUCAACACCUGCCCGAGGCCCCAUCCCUGCCCAGCCUUUCUUUGUCCAGUGGCCAGUGACCCUUUCCCACUGACCCAGAUGACCAGACCCCAUGGAGGGGACAAUAAAGAUAUGGACUGAAGGAUAGAGGAAACAGCCAGUUCUGCAUUAUUCCAAACCACAAAGCAAGCGACAUGCCAUCCCAACUUAGGAUAUGAAGGAAGUAUCAGCCCCCUAAUUGCACAGGGGCCCCACAGCCUGCAUCUCCCUCCAUCGUCCCGACUGCAUGCUUUUUAUUGUUUCAUAAUAAAAG